rnacentral:rRNA from 1 species
UUAGAGAUUCCUGUACUUGGGUAACAUGUUUGAACGAUGGAGGGACACAGGAGGUAGCGCCACGCAUCCGGAUGGAAGAGGAUGUAGAAGCAUCAAGUGGGGUUGUGAGUCAAAUGCUUACGACUAUCUAACCACGAGGUGUGACCUGGAGCGAAUUAAGUAGCGAAGGUGGCAAAUCAAACUGUCGAGAAAAGCUUCUAGUGAGUGUUAACCAACCCGUACCGCAAACCGACACAGGUAGUCAGGAAGAGUAUUCCGAGGUGAUCGAGAGAACUCUCGUUAAGGAACUCGGCAAAAUGACCCCGUAACUUCGGGAGAAGGGGUGCUGACAGCAAUGUCAGCCGCAGUGAAUAGGCCCAGGCGACUGUUUAUCAAAAACACAGGUCUCCGCUAAAUCGAAAGAUGACGUAUAGGGGCUGACGCCUGCCCGGUGCUGGAAGGUUAAGAGGAGUGCUUAGCGCAAGCGAGGGUACGAAUUGAAGCCCCAGUAAACGGCGGCCGUAACAAUAACGGUCCUAAGGUAGCGAAAUUCCUUGUCGGGUAAGUUCCGACCCGCACGAGAGGCGUAACGAUCUGGGCACUGUCUCAACGAGAGACUCGGUGAAAUUAUAGUACCUGUGAAGAUGCAGGUUACCCGCGACAGGACGGAAAGACCCCAUGGAGCUUUACUGUAGCUUGAUAUUGAGUGUUUGUAUGACAUGUACAGGAUAGGUAGGAGCCUUAGAAGUGUGGACGCCAGUCUACAUGGAGGCAAUGGUGGGAUACUACCCUUGUGAUAUGAACCCUCUAACCCGCGUCUAAACAACGGGAGACAGUGUCAGGUGGACAGUUUGACUGGGGCGGUCGCCUCCUAAAGAGUAACGGAAGUGCCCAAAGGUUCCCUCAGAAUGGUUGGAAAUCAUCCGCAGAGUGCAAAGGCAGAAGGGAGCUUGACUGCGAGACUUACAAGUCGAGCAGGGACGAAAGUCGGGCUUAGUGAUCCGGUGGUACCGCAUGGAAGGGCCAUCGCUCAACGGAUAAAAGCUACCCUGGGGAUAACAGGCUUAUCUCCCCCAAGAGUUCACAUCGACGGGGAGGUUUGGCACCUCGAUGUCGGCUCAUCGCAUCCUGGGGCUGAAGUCGGUCCCAAGGGUUGGGCUGUUCGCCCAUUAAAGCGGUACGCGAGCUGGGUUCAGAACGUCGUGAGACAGUUCGGUCCCUAUCCGUCGCGGGCGUAGGAGAUUUGAGAAGAGCCAUCCUUAGUACGAGAGGACCGGGAUGGACACACCGCUGGUGUACCAGUUGUUCCGCCAGGAGCAUCGCUGUAGCUAUGUGUGGGAUGGAUAAGCGCUGAAAGCAUCUAAGUGCGAAGCCAGCUUCAAGAUGAGAUUUCCCAUCACGCAAGUGAGUAAGACCCCUGAGAGACGAUCAGGUAGAUAGGCUAGAAGUGGAAGUGCAGCGAUGUACGGAGCGGACUAGUACUAAUCGGUCGAGGACUUAAUC